rnacentral:rRNA from 1 species
UCCUAGGCUUAAAUAAAGAGCCGGUACUACAAACACAUGUUUAAAACCGAAUGCACUUGGCGGUGCUCUAACCUAUUAGGGGAACCUGUUACUUAAUCCGAUGAUCCACGUCUUUUUUACUUUAUCUAGCAAACAACAGCCUGUGUAUUGCCGUCGCCAGCCAAAAUAGCGAUAUUAGAGCAAAUUAUGUUUUCCACUUCAAGUCAGGUCGAAAUACAGCCCAUGAUAAAGGGUAAAUGGGUUACAAUUCCUAAUAGUAGUGAAAUAAUUAAUAAAAAAAAUUACGAAAAAGGACUUAAAAGUAAGAUUAAAUACGUAAUUAAUCUGAAUUGAGCUCUGGAGCGUGU